AUUGAACGCUGGCGGCAGGCCUAACACAUGCAAGUCGAGCGGCAGCGGGAAAGUAGCUUGCUACUUUUGCCGGCGAGCGGCGGACGGGUGAGUAAUGCCUGGGGAUCUGCCCAGUCGAGGGGGAUAACUACUGGAAACGGUAGCUAAUACCGCAUACGCCCUACGGGGGAAAGCAGGGGACCUUCGGGCCUUGCGCGAUUGGAUGAACCCAGGUGGGAUUAGCUAGUUGGUGAGGUAAUGGCUCACCAAGGCGACGAUCCCUAGCUGGUCUGAGAGGAUGAUCAGCCAAACUGGAACUGAGACACGGUCCAGACUCCUACGGGAGGCAGCAGUGGGGAAUAUUGCACAAUGGGGGAAACCCUGAUGCAGCCAUGCCGCGUGUGUGAAGAAGGCCUUCGGGUUGUAAAGCACUUUCAGCGAGGAGGAAAGGUUGGUAGCUAAUAACUGCCAGCUGUGACGUUACUCGCAGAAGAAGCACCGGCUAACUCCGUGCCAGCCGCCGCCGUAA
rnacentral:rRNA from 1 species